UAGGGAAUAUUGCGCAAUGGGCGAAAGCCUGACGCAGCAACGCCGCGUGCGGGAGGAAGGCCUUCGGGUCGUAAACCGCUUUCAGGAGGGACGAAGCUACCUGGGUUAAUAGCCCGUGGGGUGACUGUACCUCCAGAAGAAGCCCCGGCUAACUACGUGCCAGCAGCCGCGGUAAUACGUAGGGGGCAAGCGUUGUCCGGAAUCAUUGGGCGUAAAGAGCGUGUAGGCGGCCUUGUAAGUCUUGCGUGAAAUCCUGUGGCUCAACCACAGACGUGCGCGGGAAACUACAUGGCUAGAGUCCGGAAGAGGAGAGCGGAAUUCCUGGUGUAGCGGUGGAAUGCGCAGAUAUCAGGAGGAACACCCGUGGCGAAGGCGGCUCUCUGGGACGGUACUGACGCUGAGACGCGAAAGCGUGGGGAGCGAACAGGAUUAGAUACCCCCGUAGUCC
rnacentral:rRNA from 1 species